CUGUUCCAUUCUCCAAUUUUGGACCCAUUGGGACUCCAGAUAACAGGGAUAGGAGGACUGCAGAUCGGUGGAAAACUGAUAAGCCAGCCAUGGGUGGGUUUGGCAUUGAUUAUCUCUCAGCAACGUCAUCCUCUGAGAGCAGUUGGCAUCAGGCCAGCACUCCGAGUGGCACCUGGACAGGCCAUGGCCCCUCCAUGGAGGAUUCCUCUGCUGUCCUCAUGGAAAGCCUAAAGUGACCCUAACGACAGUGUCUGGACAUACAAUAACUAUUUGCUGAAUCACUGAAUGAAUGAACAAGUGAAGAGUGGAUAUCUGUUAGGGAUUUAGGACUGAGAGGUGUAUAAACUUAGGAGCUGUGGUUCUAUCAUGCUGUGCCCCGAGGCCCCGGGAAGCAGAGGAAGCCAGACUACUCAGAGAGAAUGGAACAGAUGCCCAGCGAGGAGCAGAGACAAGAACACAGAAACUUUCCAGUCUCCAGUUCCAGCCUUUCCUGAGCCCCAUCCAAAUUCCUGCCCCAAGCUUAGACCCUUGCAAUAAAUUUCAGUGUUUGCUUAA
rnacentral:sRNA from 1 species